GCCUCGGGUGCUCGCAGCUUGGAGUCCAGGUUGUAGUAGACACCGUCCACCUGGCGCAGAGCCACCCAGUGCCGACGGCGCAGUGGCAGGGACAGAAGCCCCAGCGACACAGGGGUUCCCGCAUCCCCCUGGGCGGCGGCUCUAGGCUCCGAGUGCAAGGCGACCGCACGGCACUGACUGGACAGGCGGGACGGACUACAGCUCCCAGCGAUACCCGCGCUCCGGACUACGACUCCCGGCGGCCCCCGCGAAACUCUCCUCACGGAAUAUCCAGGCUGCGUGGCCCGGAAGUGUAUUAUCACCCGUUAAAAAACAGGUCUACAACUUCCGUCGGUCUCUGCGGCACGUGCCGGAAAUGUGUCUCGAAAGGUCGACCCCUCCCGUAUUCCCACGCCCACUAUUACCCAGAGGCUUCUGGGAAAUGUAGUGCGUAAGCUCUC